UCUACGGGUGGCAGCAGUGGGGAAUAUUGGGCAAUGGGCGCAAGUCUGACCCAGCAACGCCGCGUGAAGGAAGAAGGCUUUCGGGUUGUAAACUUCUUUUCUGGGGGACGAACAAAUGACGGUACCCCAGGAAUAAGCCACGGCUAACUACGUGACAGCAGCCGCGGUAAUACGUAGGUGGCAAGCGUUAUCCGGAUUUAUUGGGUGUAAAGGGCGUGUAGGCGGGAAUGCAAGUCAGAUGUGAAAACUCAGGGCUCAACCCUGAGCCUGCAUUUGAAACUGGCUGUCUUGAGUGCAGGGGAGGCAAUCGGAAUUCGGGGUGUAGCGGUGAAAUGCGUAGAUAUACGGAGGAACACCAGUGGCGAAGGCGGAUUGCUAGACAGUAACUGACGCUGAGGCGCGAAAGCGUGGGGAGCAAACAGGAUUAGAUACCCUAGUAGUC
rnacentral:rRNA from 1 species